rnacentral:rRNA from 1 species
AGAGUUUGAUCCUGGCUCAGGAUGAACGCUGGCGGUCUGCUUAACACAUGCAAGUCGAACGAAUCCCUUCGGGGAUUAGUGGCGGACGGGUGAGUAACGCGUGAGAAUUUACCAAAAGGACUGGGAUAACAGCGGGAAACCGCUGCUAAUACCGGAUGCCCUCAAUGGAUCGCAUGGUCCGCUGAGGAAAUGGAUUCUGCUUCGGGAGGGCUUCGCGGCCUAUCAGCUUGUUGGUGGGGUAACGGCCCACCAAGGCUUCGACGGGUAGCUGGUCUGAGAGGACGAUCAGCCACACUGGGACUGAGACACGGCCCAGACUCCUACGGGAGGCAGCAGUGGGGAAUCUUGCCCAAUGGGCGAAAGCCUGAGGCAGCAACGCCGCGUGUGGGAUGACGGCCCUUGGGUUGUAAACCACUUUCAGCAGGGACGAAAAUGACGGUACCUGCAGAAGAAGCUCCGGCCAACUACGUGCCAGCAGCCGCGGUAAGACGUAGGGAGCAAGCGUUGUCCGGAUUUAUUGGGCGUAAAGGGCUCGUAGGCGGCUUGGCAAGUCGGGUGUGAAAUCUCCAGGCUCAACCUGGAGACGCCACUCGAUACUGCCAUGGCUUGAGUUCGGUAGGGGACCACGGAAUUCCCGGUGUAGCGGUGGAAUGCUUAGAUAUCGGGAGGAACACCAGUGGCGAAGGCGGUGGUCUGGGCCGAAACUGACGCUGAUGAGCGAAAGCGUGGGUAGCAAACAGGAUUAGAUACCCCCGUAGUCC